UGAGUGCCUCUAAGCAAAUGAUGCUCCUCUGGAGUAUGACCCUGAAAGGGAUGGGAGGAGGUGGUGUCACCCCUGGAGCUGUCCAAGGGCCGAUUUGCUUCGCCCACGGUGGUGUCAGGGACAGCUUCUCCCUCGAGCCCUACGCUUUGUAUUUGGAUCCUCUGCAUCAUGUGGUCCCCGUGGGAAGGCUCUGCUGUGGGCCCUGAAGGUGGGCCAUGCUGUGGGUCGACACACCCAAGGCCCGGGGAGGCCAAGGGGGCCCGGCUGCCCGUCCAAGAGGCCACGAGGCAGGUAGCGCCCACCCAGGCAGAGCCAGCAGCUGCACAGUGCUCGCCGGUCCUGUGGGCAGCAGGGAACCCAGCUGGGUCUGCCAGCCUGAGGACGGGGGAGCAGGCAGUGAGGGCACGUUGUGGGGACCCACAGUCCCAGUUUGCCUGGGAGUGAGGGGCUUCACAGGAUGCAGGACUUUGAGCAGGCCCAGGCAAACCUGACGACUGGUCGUCCUCGUUGAGAAGCAGCAGAGACAACCAAGAGGAAGGCAAGAAAAGCGGUUGCAGUUCAAGCAGCAGGUCUGCGAGGAAGACAAAGGUUCUGUGACCUGGCACCAAGAGAAGGCCCUGUGCUCAUCUUCUGCGGCGGCUAAAGGGGCCAUCACUCACCUCACGAUAGGCAGUGCUGAGGAUGGAGACAAAUUCCAGACUGUUCUCCCGGACCAGGGAUGGCGCGGCACUGCAGACAACAGAGAAGGCUGAGAGGCCCGCCCCACCAGCAGGGCAGGGCUAAGCGUGGAGAUAUAAGGGAAGCAAGCAGGACACACGGGAACCUCAUACCACCA